UGAGGAAUAUUGGUCAAUGGGCGCAAGCCUGAACCAGCCAUCCCGCGUGCAGGAUGACGGCCCUAUGGGUUGUAAACUGCUUUUGUACAGGAAGAAAAAUCCCUACGUGUAGGGACCUGCCGGUACUGUACGAAUAAGCAUCGGCUAACUCCGUGCCAGCAGCCGCGGUAAUACGGAGGAUGCAAGCGUUAUCCGGAUUCAUUGGGUUUAAAGGGUGCGUAGGCGGCUUUUUAAGUCAGUGGUGAAAGCCCAUCGCUCAACGAUGGAACGGCCAUUGAUACUGCUAGACUUGAAUUAUUAGGAAGUAACUAGAAUAUGUAGUGUAGCGGUGAAAUGCUUAGAUAUUACAUGGAAUACCAAUCGCGAAGGCAGGUUACUAAACUGUUACUGACGCUGAUGCACGAAAGCGUGGGGAGCGAACA
rnacentral:rRNA from 1 species